CAGAGAGUGUAAAAAUGAAAAUGCUGACAGACCUGUAGAGUUGUUCAGCCAAAAUCCAGUUCCCUUCAGGGACCCGGAGCCAGGAGUUGUGCACUGUGCAGUAGCUGGGGGGAAACGAACAGGCUGGUGCAGACUCGGGGCUCAUGUAGCUCCAGCCUGAGCCCUCUUCCAGCCAGGUGAGUCCCUCAUUAGCUCCCCCCUGCCCCCUAAAAGCAGCCUCUCAGGCUGCUUGCUCUCCUAAAGGGUCAGGCACAUCCCAGUGCCCUGUUACAUAUUCUGUAUACUAGAUAACCAUGAUAGUUGAUUACUGUGUUAAUUAUUUGUACGUCCUUCGAUGAGGAGAGGUGACAAUCCUGACUAAAGUUCUGUUGUAGCAGAUGCUGUACAAAUGCAAAUAAAGACUUAGGGUGUGUGUAAAUGAAAUGAAAA